rnacentral:rRNA from 1 species
UCGUACGAGAGCUUUUAGCUCUAGUGGCGGACGGGUGAGUAACACGUGAGAAUCUGCCCUUAGGAGGAGGAUAACAGCUGGAAACGGUUGCUAAUACUCCAUAUGCCGAGAGGUGAAAGGAUUUAUCCACCUAAGGAGGAGCUCGCGUCUGAUUAGCUAGUUGGUGUGGUAAAGGCUCACCAAGGCAUCGAUCAGUAGCUGGUCUGAGAGGAUGAUCAGCCACACUGGGACUGAGACACGGUCCAGACUCC